CUGACCCUGGGUCACACAGAUAAAUCUAGCCCUUGCUUUUGGAGAGGAGAACCCUCCCCCUGGCCCCUUUGGUGGGUGGAGCCUCACUAACUGCCAUUUUUAAGAGAGUUGGCAGCCAGCGUUGCGUCAGGAAAGACAAUACUUUGGAGGGAAGAAAAGAGAAAUGCUGAGAUCACUGGGAGAAAAAGACACAUUCCAGAUCACUCACGGAGAGGUGUUCCAACUAAGUAGCAUUGACUCCUGCUACUUGGAUUCAUUGGUCACGAACUCCAAAGUUUUACAUUUUAUAAGAUGCUCAUAGUAGGUCUUACUGGGUCAACGAAAGCUGUUUGGAACAUUGCUGUAAACAGAAUUAUUGAGUCGCUUUAAAAUCAGAUAGAUUCAGUAUUUCUCACCUCAGGUGUUGACUAAAAGUACUUGGAUGACGUGGUGGUGAAUGGUGGUAAUCUGAGAAAAGAGAAAGAAAAAGAAGAUGCAACAGAGAUGAAGAAGAAAGGGAUGAUGAUGAAAGGAGGAAAUCAUAGUCAUAAUCAUUCCCCUUUCCCCCAUCUUUCUGAUGCAGCUAAAUAAGCUACAAAAAAAGGAAUCGUUCCUUUCGGCGUGGCCUUGAAGUUUCAGGUUAAAUGAAUGGCACCUAUACAACCUGUACUGCAGAUAGCUCCUUUUUAAAAUUCACAUUUGGCUUCAAUGGAUCUUCAAAUCUAUUGAUCUAUAACAUAUUAAUUCCCAAAUAGAGUAAAACUGGGAAAGAUGGCUUGUUCUUCAAAUGAUGUAAACACUUGGGAAUACUGAAAAUUGUGGGCAUGUAAGAGAAUGUAUUUUGGCACACCACCUCUGGCUAUCAUUAGUCCAACCAACUAGGUGGAAGAACUGUGGCUGUGUCAUCAAGAUUUGAACAAAAAUAAUAAUAUAAUUUGGAAACAUUAUUGAAGUUGCCUAAUUGUAGAGAAACUUAUGCAUAUUCCAAAAAAAAAACAAGAAACAAAAAGAGUUAAACAACUGCAAAAGUAUUUUUGGAUUUAAUUAGCCUAAUAAUUGCAAUAGCCUUCACAUGAAAAUGGGAAAAAUGACACAUUUGACACUCUUACUGGUUCCCAUGUGUGUCCAAAAACAGCCAAAUCGAGCAUACAAUUUUAGCCUAAAUUAUCGAAAUAAACAAUCAUUAAACACAAUCCAAGUUUCACGAACUUCCUAACUCAAACCUGCGUUAACCUGCCGAUUUUUAACGCAACUUCUCGUUUUCUUUCUUUUUUUUUUAUCAAAAAGGCAUCUAACUCGUCAUGUUACUUUGAUACCAGGUGUUGACAAUUUAGCCGACAUAAUUCGUGUUUACUGUUAAAACCUGUUUUCUUCUAUUGAUAACUAGUGGCUCUUGGAUUGGUGGAGGUUUCGUAUCGGAAGUAGUUUAUUUAGGCCUAUGCAAAUGAGGAGUUGGGGUUGUAGAUAUUUACGUUCAACGGGAGCCGCCCUUCAUUCACCACAUGGUUAACAGCGAGUAGCUUGGCGCCACUUUCGCAAAUUUAUGUUGUUUUAUCAAGUUUAUAUGCUUUUAAAUGAUACAAGUAAAGGCGAACAAGGUUACUUAACGUAGCUAUAACAUAAGGAAGUUUGUGCGUUAGUUUGGUAGAUAUGCCUGGAGCAGUGACAGUAAACGACUUUGUCCAGUGUUCGCCAGGGAUUGCACCCGUCACCGCCGCUGAUGGGGGAUUCUUUUCAGUUCUACUUGGAUACAGCGCUGAAGGAUGCUCCCAGGACUGGUACUGUCCCUGUAGUGUCAAAGUGCUUACAGUGCAGGUAGUACUAAGUGAUACCUACUGCAGUGGAGGCACUUCAAGCACUACACUGACACUCAAACCAGCCAACACCAAUACAGCAGACUCUCAUCAUCUAUUAACUUCUGCUUAUGCUAAGGUGCAUCUAGUGCAGAUAGUGAAGUAGACUAGCACCUACUGCCCUAAGUGCUCCUUCUGGCAUAAGGAGCAGGGACUCGCAACUGGUGUGUUUGCCUUGCUUUUUAUGCAGUUCUCUGCUAGUUUUGCAUAGUUGCACUACAAGAAAAAAUGAGUUGUGCAAAUCUAUGCAAAACUGAUGGUGGCCUGCUUCCCCAUCUUUCCUAUGCUGUGUGCUUGGAUGAGGCUGCCUGUGCACAUCUUGCAACGCUUCUGUGUGUGUUUGUUUGUGUGAGACCCCCAGCCACUCUGUCCUUUACAUCAGGUUUCAGCAGUAUUAAAGUGCUUAUAGUGCAGGUAGUUACUUAUUCAUCUACUGCAGUGUGAGCACUUGAAGUACUUCUAGAUUGUGGGCAUCAGCAUGGACCCUGAAGCUACGAGACUUGCCACUGGACUCUGGUUAGUUUUGCUGGUUUGCAUUCCGCUGGUUUAACUGUUGAUGUGCAAAUCCAUGCAAAACUGAUCAUGGCAGUGAAUCGUCUGCCACCUCAGAUGGGUAAUCCCUUUCUGUGCAGGUUGGGAUUAGUAGCAAUGCUCUUGUACUUGUAAGGUAUUGCACUUGUCCCGGCCUGUUUAGGACUUGGGAAACUAUACUGCUGCCUCUUGUAUUGUGUAUGUAAAUUUGGCCAUAAUAUAGGUUCCCCCUGUUUUAAUGCUUUGAAUGUACAUGUUGUAUUAUUGAAUCUGCUUCUUACUUUUUGUACAACGUGACGAAUAAAAGUUGACAAACUUA